GAUGAACGCUAGCGAUAGGCCUAACACAUGCAAGUCGAGGGGCAUCACAUGAAGUAGCAAUACGGAUGGUGGCGACCGGCGCACGGGUGAGUAACACGUAUGCAACCUGCCUUCAACAAGGGGAUAACCCGUUGAAAGACGGACUAAUACCCUAUAACACAGGGGUCCCGCAUGGGAAUAUUUGUUAAAGGACAACCGGUUGAAGAUGGGCAUGCGUUCCAUUAGCUAGUUGGUGGGGUAAAAGCCCACCAAGGCGACGAUCCGUAGCGGGUCUGAGAGGAUGAUCCGCCACACUGGGACUGAGACACGGCCCAGACUCCUACGGGAGGCAGCAGUGGGGAAUUUUGGACAAUGGGGGCAACCCUGAUCCAGCCAUGCCGCGUGAAGGAAGACGGCCCUACGGGUUGUAAACUUCUUUUAUACGGGAAUAAAGUGCCCCACGCGUGGGGUUUUGCAUGUACCGUAUGAAUAAGGAUCGGCUAACUCCGUG
rnacentral:rRNA from 1 species